rnacentral:rRNA from 1 species
GACGAACGCUGGCGGCGUGCCUAAUACAUGCAAGUAGAACGCACAGUUUAUACCGUAGCUUGCUACACCAUAGACUGUGAGUUGCGAACGGGUGAGUAACGCGUAGGUAACCUGCCUGGUAGCGGGGGAUAACUAUUGGAAACGAUAGCUAAUACCGCAUAAUAUUAAUUAUUGCAUGAUAAUUAAUUGAAAGGUGCAAUUGCACCACUACCAGAUGGACCUGCGUUGUAUUAGCUAGUAGGUGAGGUAACGGCUCACCUAGGCGACGAUACAUAGCCGACCUGAGAGGGUGAUCGGCCACACUGGGACUGCGACACGGCCCAGACUCCUACGGGAGGCAGCAGUAGGGAAUCUUCGGCAAUGGACGCAAGUCUGACCGAGCAACGCCGCGUGAGUGAAGAAGGUUUUCGGAUCGUAAAGCUCUGUUGUAAGAGAAGAACGGGUGUGAGAGUGGAAAGUUCACACUGUGACGGUAUCUUACCAGAAAGGGACGGCUAACUACGUG